rnacentral:miRNA from 1 species
UCAUUGUCGCAGUUCUCGUAGU